GUAAAUACGAAGAAGAAGAUACGUUCAUUAUGAGAGGAAAUGACAGAGAGCUAGUGGGUGGUGUGAACUAGUAUUUCCACAUAAUGAAAAGCACUUUUGAGUAGACAGCUCGAAAUAGAAGUAGGACUGUCCGUGAAUGCACGUUACGCAUAACUAAUGAAGGCUAUGGAAAUAGCGAAAAUUAGGGUGGUACCGCGAAAACUUUCGCCCCUUAC
rnacentral:ncRNA from 1 species